CGCCUUGCCAGCCCGCUCAGAAACUUAAAGGAAGUUGACGGGGGCCCGCACAAGCGGUGGAGUAUGUGGUUUAAUUCGAUGCAACGCGAAGAACCUACCUGGUCUUGACAUCCCGGAGACCCUUAGGAAACUAGGGGGUGCUUCCAUCUGGAAGAAUCUGGAGACAGGUGCUGCAUGGCUGUCGUCAGCUCGUGUCGUGAGAUGUUGGGUUAAGUCCCGCAACGAGCGCAACCCUUGCCUUUAGUUGCCAGCAGUUCGGCUGGGCACUCUAAAGGGACUGCCGGUGUUAAACCGGAGGAAGGUGGGGAUGACGUCAAGUCCUCAUGGCCUUUAUGACCAGGGCUACACACGUACUACAAUGGCCGAUACAAAGGGCAGCGACACUGCGAGGUGAAGCCAAUCCCGUAAAAUCGGUCUCAGUCCGGAUUGGAGUCUGCAACUCGACUCCAUGAAGUUGGAAUCGCUAGUAAUCGUGGAUCAGCAUGCCACGGUGAAUACGUUCCCGGGCCUU
rnacentral:rRNA from 1 species